UACAGAGGGCUCAAGCGUUGUUCGGAUUCAUUGGGCGUAAAGGGUGCGUAGGCGGCGCCGUAAGUCAGGUGUGAAAUUUCGGAGCUUAACUGCGAAACUGCAUUUGAUACUGCGGUGCUUGAGGACUGGAGAGGAGACUGGAAUUUACGGUGUAGCAGUGAAAUGCGUAGAGAUCGUAAGGAAGACCAGUGGCGAAGGCGGCCAACUGGGCAGAUACUGACGCUGAGACACGAAAGCGUGGGGAGCGAACAGG
rnacentral:rRNA from 1 species